rnacentral:tRNA from 1 species
GAGUAUAUAGCCCAGUGGUAGAGUGCAUGCUUAGCAUGCAUGAGGUCCUGGGUUCAAUCCUCAGUACCUCCA